rnacentral:rRNA from 10 species
CAGAUAAGUGGUGUUCGCAAUUGUGUGAUGUCGCAGUGUUGCUAAGCCAUCAUCUGUGGAAGAAUGACUGAAAGCCUCUAAGUCAAAAUUCGAUCUGGUUUGCGAAUUAACUGCGGCCUUUGAUCCAACUAACACAUACAAAAUCGCAUGUCGUUGAAUGGUCAUGCAGAAACGGACACUUGGCCUCUAAUUAUAAUUGCUUGUAGACCACUUGACGCAAUUCAGGUGCUGUGCGUGUGAAAGUAGUCUUUGCAC